rnacentral:ncRNA from 3 species
GACAAGACAUUAGUCACGGCGGCCAUAGAAAGUAAUUUCUAUGAUCCAUGCUAACUAAUAUCGGUGGAAUCCUAUGUGGACAACACCGAGGAAAUUUCGAUAUCUAUCGAAAGUCCGUAGAGACUAGACGUUAGCCUCCUUAUAGAAAUAAGGAUGAAGAUAUAGUCCAAUGCACGUAGUAAUACGUGG